UACGUAGGGGGCAAGCGUUGUCCGGAGUGACUGGGCGUAAAGGGCGUGUAGGCGGGCCGGCAAGUGUAAUGUCAAAGCCCCGGGUAACCCCGGGAAGAGGCAUUACAAACUACCGGUCUUGAGGAAAGGAGAGGGAAGCGGAAUUCCCGGUGUAGCGGUGAAAUGCGUAGAUAUCGGGAGGAAUACCGGUGGCGAAGGCGGCUUCCUGGACUUAUCCUGACGCUGAGGCGCGAAAGCGUGGGGAGCAAACAGGAUUAGAUACCCCGGUAGUCC
rnacentral:rRNA from 1 species